ACAUGUAACAGCUGCUUUUGGGAGACCCCUGUUGGAGACCAGCUGGAGUUUUCUGUCCCUCUCGCCCCUGUUCCGGCUGCACCGAAGACCCCCCGAGUCCGACACGCCUUUUUGUCAACGGCUGCGAUUUCGCAUAAUCUCAGCUGGCAACUGUGAGCUGUGCCGUCGCCCCCCUCACGGUGGCUGCUGGGAUUAUGUUAAACGCAGCGAUUUCCUCGCGCUGCCCGAUCGAUCGGCACGAGCUGUCACCCAAGCCUCGGAGAUCCGCCUUCUGAAUGAAGAUGUCGCUGCAAUUACGGAAGCGUGUCUUAAUGAGGUUAACUUCACCAGCCAAAAAAAAAGUUAUUCUGAGGCCACAUACCCUUUCUUUUCUUUCUUUUUGGUCUUUUAAUUCGUUCACCCAUCCAUUCUUCCUUUUUUACUUUAAAGGUCUAGCUAUUUAUUGUGGACUUUUUGCUUUGCUGCGUCUAAUCUCCUUCCAGAAUAUGCUACGUUUUGUUUUGCUGCGGAAGGAACAGAUGGCACGGGUGAGCACGGAGCUUUCUGGUGUCGAUGAUACUGCAUCAGGAACUGAUUGGAUAAUGUACUGAGACCAUCAGUUCUUCAUGCAUUGCCUUCAGCAUCGAAAGAAACGCCACUGUUUUUUCAGACGUUUUCAAAGUGUGUAACGAGUGAGAAAUGGGGAAACGUACGCAUUUUCCACUGAAUAAUUAAACCGGGUUAUAUUAACAAUCAGCGAUCAUGCUUCGUGUACUGUAUACGAAUGUGGUUUACUGAUCCUAAUGAAAUGCUUUUUAUCCAAUGUGGGCUCAAAUAAAAAGUUGAAUACUUC